rnacentral:misc_RNA from 1 species
AAGUCGUAACAAGGUUUCCGUAGGUGAACCUGCGGAAGGAUCAUUCAUAAUCAAGUGUUUUUAUAGCACUUUCAAAAAUCCAUAUCCACCUUGUGUGCAAUGUCAUCUCUCUGGGGGCUGCCGGCUGUCAAAAGCCGUGUGGUCACCUUUGGGAUUUAUAUCUACUCAGAACUUUAGUGAUUUUGUCUGAAACAUAUUAUGAAUACUUAAUUCAAAAUACAACUUUCAACAACGGAUCUCUUGGCUCUC